GACGAACGCUGGCGGCGCGCCUAACACAUGCAAGUCGAACGAGCGAGAGAGAGCUUGCUUUCUCGAGCGAGUGGCGAACGGGUGAGUAACGCGUGAGGAACCUGCCUCAAAGAGGGGGACAACAGUUGGAAACGACUGCUAAUACCGCAUAAGCCCACGACCCGGCAUCGGGUAGAGGGAAAAGGAGCAAUCCGCUUUGAGAUGGCCUCGCGUCCGAUUAGCUAGUUGGUGAGGUAACGGCCCACCAAGGCGACGAUCGGUAGACGGACAGAGAGGUUGAACGGAGACAUUGGGACUGAGCAACGGCACAGACUCCUACGGGAGGCAGCAGUGGGGGAUAUUGCAAAGUGGGGGGAACCAUGAUGGAGCGACGCCGCGUGGAGGAAGAAGGUAUUCGGAUUGUAAACUCCUGUUGUUGAGGAAGAUAAUGACGGUACUCAACAAGGAAGUGACGGCUAACUACGUG
rnacentral:rRNA from 1 species